UUGAGACAAAAAAAAAAGACAGGACCGAGAGGAGGAUUUAAAGACUGUGUGGGAGGCGUGGUCAGAGCAACAAUAACAAUGACCAGUCUUUGUUAGAUGCCUACUGCUCCUCAGGCAGUAAUCCCAUUGAAUACACCUCCUCAAACACAGGCCCACAUGUGAUGAAGACAGGAUUCUAAGGUUUGGCACUUCUUCAAAUUGGAUUAGUUGGAGGAUGUUUCAAAGUUGGAAAGUUAUGUGUGUUACCCUUGGCACUGGAUGAUUGCAACAGUAAGUGGCAACUGGGAUAUUUCUCCAGAGCUUCUACAACAACAAAUUGAGAGUUUCACAAGCACCUGGGGCCCAGCAGACGUUGGGAAGCCUAUUCUGGGACUCGCCUCCAUCUAAAUGAUUUGAAAAUUCAGCUCCUGAACACAGCCAGAUUGCUGUCAGCAAUUCGAAUAAGUUUUAACAACACUGGAUCCACCUCAAGAGAAUAAUGAGGAAGAGAGGAGAAGGAAAAAAGGCAAGCAGGCAGGGAAGGACAGAGGAAAGAAAAAGAAAGAUUGUUUUGGUAGAAACUGGAAGUGAGCGAUGAGAAACAGCUUUAGUCACCUCGGAACAGGAAGGCUACUCUUAGAGAAGACACACAGAUCUCUGAGAGCUUUAACCAAAAACAGGCUGAAUUCAAGCACUUCAAUAGAGAAAUUCUCCAUCACAGAAUAAAAUAUUUGUUUACUACACUGG
rnacentral:lncRNA from 10 species